GUCAGGUUAGUUGAAGUACACUUAGCACUGGAUCUCAAGGAUUGAAGUUGUGAGGGGACAGAUGGAAUCCUUAAAGGUGAUUUACAGAAAGAAAUCUUGGAGAAACCUAGAUGGAGCAAUGAGCAAAUAUUUCUGUGGGAUGACGUUGGCGUGAUGGAUCUGGAGGGCUUACAUGACAGCCCAGGAUGAAUAAGGACAACAGUUCAAUGCACCGACUUGUCACUCAUCAACUCUGAAAGACCAGACAACUGCUCAAACGUAAUACGUCCUAAUUUACAUGGGAGCAGCUCUGUUAGACCUUUCCAAGCUGCUGCAAUUGGGGGACUAACCAAUGCAGACCAAGAGGAGCUGCAGCGUCUGAAGUGCAAGUGGACCUGUAAGGUGUGUCUGGACCGGUGGGUCCACGUGGUCUUCAUCCCCUGUGGUCGCCUGGUGUGUGAGGAGUGCUCCAGCAAGCUGCCAUCUUGUCCUUUCUGCAGAGGCCAGAUCCAGCACUGCUUGAACAUCUCUUUCUCAUAACCAUAUGCCUGCUAGACCGUUCAGCCCCUGGUCCAGCCCCUGGUCCAGCCCCUGGUCCAGCCCCUGGUCCAGCCCCUGGUCCAGCCCCUGGUCCAGCCCCUGGUCCAGCCCCUGGCAUUGGUGUUUCCAUUUCCUCAAGCCAUUUCCAAAUUCUUUACAUUUCAGCAUUGCUACAACUAUGUAACAGUUUUUUAAAUAGCUGACUGAUUGGUGAUUUUGAGUAAUAAAUGGCAAUAUGUUUCGAGCUGGCUAUAUUUUGUUUUGUAUAAUGCAAUGUUCACAUGCAAUGCACACUUUACCUUAAGCAUGCAUUUUCAAAAUGUUUGUGCUGUGUCAGGGGCCCUGGUAGCUGGUUAACCAUGUAA